rnacentral:lncRNA from 1 species
GAUAGGGCGAGACUCCGUCUCAAAAAAAGAAAAAUAGACAGUCUCACUAUGUUGCCCAGUCUUGAAUUCCUGGGCUCAAGUGACCCUCCCAUCUCAGCUGCCCCAAGUGCUGGGAUUACAGAUGUGAGCCAUCAUGUCUAGCCUUUUUAUUUUCAAAAAAUUUUGUUUUAGAUUUAAUGUCAAACUUAAUUUUAAUUGUACGGUCCAAUAGCCAUAGUCCACAGGGCUGCAAAUGUGACUGAUCACUCUGCAGCUUGUUCCAGCAUAAAAUUCAUGCAAUUCGUAUUUCAGGGAUGUGGCAAGUCAUGCAUGGGGCAGAGAGGCCCGCUGUGCCUGUUGGGGGUAAGGUAAACCUCAGAGAUGCUGGCCAUGUGGGCCUGCUCCUGUGUUGCCAGGCAUCCCUCUGUGGAGACGUUCUUGGGCUUUCUUCCACCGUCAUUGCUACUGUCAGUCCCAUUCGCUCAGGCACACUUCCGAGCCCCUUAUCUUUGUGUUAAUAGGAACAAAGAUUUCAGCUUCUCUCUGUGAGGUAGAACCAACCUCAUGUCCUUCUGUGGGUCAGGUGUGGCUUAGCCUGCUGCUACAGCAACCACAGACAUCAGAGCUGGAAAGCAGCUUGUGAAAUGAGGGAACAGCUGAGAACAGCUUCAGAAAGGGAACGCUGUCUUCGUUCUUGGACAGAAACAGAUCACAGUCUGGCCAACAUUGGGAAACAAUGCCAUUGGAAAUAAUGAUUCCUUCCCAUCCUCAGAAAGAGCUGUGUGUGUGUGUGUGUGUGUGUGUGUGUGUGUGUGUGUGUGUGUGUGUGUGUGUGUGUGUGAUGCUGCCCCUGUUUCCCCCAACUCCCCCAGCAUGACCAGAAAGCUGGAGGCAACAGCAGAUAGCAGUCCUGGGCUGGACUACAGAGGCUCACUUGGGUGCACAGCUCGUGUACAGCAAGCAGCUCAGCUCCAAGUUAGUGAGGGCCGUGCAUGAGCGGAAGUCUUCUCCAGCGCAAGUAAAGCCCUUUUCUUGACUACAUUUCCUCACCACAGAUUUUAAUCUAUACCUAAAAUGCCUCUUAUCUGUACCUAAAGCAAAUGCAGUGUAUUCUUGGCAAAAGAAAAAUGGUUAUAUUUUGAUAUCCCUUUUCUCUUGGAAAAUAUUUUCUUAAAAUGUCUACAGCAAUCAUUGGAAUUAGCUUUUUGACUUUGAGAUAUUAAUUUAAUUGCUUAAAAUGACAUAACUUAGUAUAAAAUGCCCAAACCAUAUCAAUUAUGGCUAAUCUGACUGCAAGGUUAGCGUUAUGUUUAAUUGUUCAGCAACAGAGAAUACUUUUUUAAAGUAGUGAAAUCCCAAAGGCAAAGAAGAAGAGGGGAUACAGCUGACUGAAUGUAAUUACGAUGGAUUUAACUAUGCUCCACCAUCCCAUCUUGAAAUCCCCCAAGGAGCUGGAAGGGGUGGGAAGAGCAAAAGAGACUUUGAAAAAAGUGUUAUGGUGGCUUGGGGUUUAGAAGUGAAGAAAAUCGGUAUAACUAGAAAAUAGGGAUAUUUUGACUCAAAUUACACAGAAAGUCUUUAACAGCAGCAAAAUGAGUAUAUUCAGAAGGCAAACUGGGGCUGGCCUCAUGAGCUAGGGGCCUCCUUCUUGGCAUACAAAUCCUUUUCAAUGUCUGCAAACUGUUUAGACAGGUUUGAAAUGCUAUCGUUCUGCACCAAAUGUAUUUCAACCCCAUUUCCAGGUGCAAAUUCAAGCAGAGACUGAAGCAUGCAGCAAAGGAAGGUGACAAGACAGAGAAGCCCCUGAAAAUUCAGGUUUCGAAUCGUGAUGCUCGAUGGACACUCCUGAAAGCUACACCCAUGUUCAUCUUGGAAGCAAAAUCCUGUGGACAUGUUUAGCUGAUCUACCAAGAGGGCAGGCUCCUGGUCUCUCCUUGUUGUGUAAGGAAAAACGACCACCAAAUUGUUCCUAGCAAAUGACAAGCCCUCAUAAGAUGAGAGCACGUCCAGGUUUCCCUGUCUCGACGUGAAUGUUUUCAUCUGUCUCGAUGUGAAUGUUAAUAGCACCACUCUUCUCUCUCUAAUGACCCCAUUUGGAUAAAAAAUUAUAUGGUCACCCUACUUAAAGGUCGAUUUCCCCUUAUGUCAACUCAUCAUAGCCCUAUUUCACAAUCACACAUUUAACCAACCAACCAACCAAAAUGCUAAAUUCUAUUCACAUAUAUGAUUAUAAAUGGACCAUUUCUAGACAGUUUUCCUACCUCUCCCAGAACCAAAAUGAAUAUUGAAGAUGUUUGAAAUUUCACCUUCAAGUCCAAAGAUCCCUACACCAUGAAUAGCCGUUUCUCUAAUAUCUUUCUGAUUCAGUAUCCCAAGGAGGUACCACUUCUUACAGUGAGCACAUAAUGGAUGGAAUCAAGAAUUGAAGAGCCUGAAUUCUACCCAGUUAAGAACUGCAUUUGGUUCUUCCAGAUGACAAUUUUCACUGAAUUCCUGGAGCAAUCACAGAACUAAGAGGACCCUAAUAAUCAGGUACCACAAAGCUGGCAAACACUUGUGUCAAAGUGGAAAUGGACUGUGUCAGGAGGCAACCGAUGGCUCUGCUAGGGAGGCCAGAAGAUGAUCUGUUUGUGGCCCAUUAACUCUAGGUUCUUCUGAACACAAUAGAGUCUCUGCUUUAAUCUGUGCAAUGUGAACCCAUUAUCUUCACCCUCGCCUCUAGCCACAGGGGUCAUCCGUAAACCCAAGGAGCCAUCACACCGAAUGUGCACCAGCAGAAGAAAGCCAGUAACAGUGUGAAUUCAUUUUUGUGCACUGAUAAAAUAACCAAAGCCUGUGCCCUACCGAUGGGGUGUUAGAACAAUGACUUCCUUGUAAGAGGCCAUGGCACGUGGAUUGACUGCCAGGCCUGGAAGCGUUUGAUGCAUUCACACUCAGGUGCAUUGCUCUUUAGUGGUCAUGUUAGGAUCCUUACACAUCAUUUCAUUAGGUUUCUUAGCUUUGCUCUUCUCUAAUGCGACUACUUUUUAUUUAAUAAAAGUAAAAGGAACAUAAUUUAAUAUAUACAUGUUUGUUUUACACUAGAAUUUUCAGAAAUGUAGGCGGUAUAUAAACAGAAGCAGGUAGGAUUCUGAAAGGACUUCGAAGAAUGAGUUUUCACGUCUUAGUUUGCAUCCUGCUGUGUUCCUGGCUUCUCUUUGCAGAAAGGUUUCUGAGUCCACACAGUGGAGUGUCAUGUCUCCCUCGUCUCCCAUUUACCCUUUCGUGUGCCCUGAUCUGGUUUCUACAGGCACUGCUCCUAGUGAUAUUUUAGUAAACGGUUCCUAGUGAUGUCUCCAAAGACCUCCACACUGCACACCAAUGGGCUGCGCCCUGACUGCAUCUCAGCUGUUGGAACGUCAUCUUUUCUUCUGGCUGUCCUCCAACUCACCACACACACACCUCAGCCCCCUCUGUUGGGAUCUCUAAGGGCCCUCUCCUCUCUUUUCCUGCUUUUUCUUCCUAGGUAUGGUCAUUCAUUUCCAGGUUCGGAACACAAUCUGUGUGCUAACUACUCCCACAUUUUAUUUCUAGUCCAGGCCAUUUCUCUGAGUGUCAUUUCCUCAGAGCUGACGUUGCCACUUGGGCAUCUCACGGAUCUCCCAGCUUCACCGGCCCUGCACACUUACCCCCAUCCUCCCGCCCUUCCCUGAGUCUUCUCAGUGACAGAAAAUGGCGUCCAUAUUCAACCAAUUGCUCAAAAAGCACAAAGCAUAGAUGCCAUCAUACUUCUUUCUUCCACUCUGUUUGCAAGUCAAAUCCAUCAGGAAAUUCUACAUAUUGUAUUGUUUGGGAUAUUUUUGAAACCAUUUACUGCUUUCUAUCUGCACUGUUUAAAACACAUCAAUGUCUUCCAUGGCAUUUAGAAGAAAACACUAACUCCCUGUCCACGUUCCCAUCUGCCUGCUCCCACAGUGCUGGUGCAGGCUGCUUCCUGUCCCUCUCUGCAUCAGUCCCUGGCCCUCUUACAUGUCCCAUGACAAGCUGCACCCCUGCCCCUCUCCAGCCUCUGGAGAUGCAGUGUCCCUCUCAUGCUCUCACCCUCCUCCCCUGCUCCCGCUCUCCACCCAUUUGGCUUCUCAUCCCUUACACUCUGCUUCAGCCAAGGGAUUCUUCCUUAACUACCAGCUCUGUCAAAGAUCAUUUUCUCCCAGCUCAUCACUGCACAGCCAGCACCCUGCAUAUUUCUUCAUGAUGACAGCAAAGACUUGAAAUGGUGGGAGAGACAAAUAAACAAGAACUAAGCAAGUGGAGGAGUGGAACUUCAUUCCCAGGUAAGCCCUGUGAGCAGACAGCACAUCUGUCCCCAGGUAAUCAUAGUGAGUGGGUGGCACAUCUAUCCCAGGUAAGCCCCGUGCGUGGGCGGCAUGUCUGUCCCCAUGUAAUCAUAGUGAGUGGGCAGCAUGUCUGUCCCAGGUAAUUAUAGUGAGUGGGUGGCACGCCUGUCCCAGGUAAGCCCCGUGCAUGGGCAGCAUGUCUGUCCCAUGUAAUCAUAGUGAGCGGGCGGCACAUCUGUCCCAGGUAAUCAUAGUGAGUGUCCCCAGGUAAGCCCCACGAGCGGGCAGCACAACUGUCCCCAGGUAAGCCCCAUGAGCGAGCGGCACAUUUGUCCCAGGUAAGCCCUGUGAGCAGGCGGCACAUCUGUCUCCUGCACCUGGUGCUAGCCUACUGAUAAGCACAGAGGCCCCACCCGGGGGUGAAGGAGCACACGGGUCACUCUCCAGUCUAACCCUGAUGUUUGCAGCCCUGGCACUGGCACCAACAGCCCUCAAGGAAGAAUAGAAUUAGAUCUGGGAGAAGCAAGCUAUCAGGAAGUAAAUGAUCAUGUAUCCUGGUUUAUGAAAUACCACUUAUUAUUACUAGAAAUGAGCUAUACCCCUAACAAUUUUAAGAGCAAAUACCUUCAUGUAAAUGUGGAUCAAAUGCUUCAGAAAGAGCUUUCAGAUUGAGCUUUAAUUGAAUUUAAACUAAAUAUAACAACUUUACAAGACUGCUUCAAAGAAAGCCCUGAAAUUCAUUUUGAAAGCAGAAGUCAUUCCGGAUCUUGGGAGGACAGAAGUACAAGGCUCAGGCAGUUAUUUACUGAUGUAAUUAAUUGAUAUUGGUCAAACACAAAAGUCUUUGAGGAUCGUUGAAGGCAAUUCGGUCUGCGGGAGUUCAUAUUCUUUAUUACGGUUUGUUUCCCUGGAGACCUCAUUUUCCCCUGUUAUAAAUAACCCCAACGUGUCUUGCCAGUCCAGGUGUCCGACCCUUUGAUACGAUUCUGAUUUUUCGGACAGAAAAACAGUGCCCGAGGAUCUGUCCCUGGCUGCUGUUGGCUGCUUGUUGAAGAUCCACUCCACGGCUGCUGGUAUGAGGAAGUAAGGCGGGCCUGAUGGUCAGAGGGAGGAGGAGGAUGGGCAGAGGGAGGAGAGUCUGAUGCCAGAGGGAAGAGGUUGAUGGUCAAAGGGCGCACAGUGAUGAUCAGAGGGAGGAGGAUGAUGGCCAGAGGGGGAAGGGUCUGAUAAUUCGAGGGAGGGGUCUCGAGGCUCCAUGUGAAGUAGGUCUGAUGACCAGCGCUCAAAGUUCAUAAGUCAGUCUAAUAACCUAAAGAACUAUGGACAGUAGAAAGAAUACAGCGACAUACAAGAGGGCUAUUACAUACUGGACAUUAUAAUCUGUGCUUCAAGAUAUUGUUGCCAAUUAUUACAGCAAAUUGCUAAAGUGAGUAUUAUUAUGACUUCUAUUACCCACAUGAAGAAACACAAGCUCACAGAGACUAGGAAACAGGCUCAAAGUCACUCAGCUAGUAAGUGAUAGGGAAUUUAACUCCCAUCUCUUUCUAGUAACUUAGGUUUAUUUUAUAUAAUAGAUGGGAGGUAUGCUUGUUAAAAUAAGUCAUUUCAAGAUCAUAUCACAGGUUUGUAGGCCACUUCUUCUUUCCUUGACUAUAUUUGGUUCUCUUUCCAGUGUGAUUUUUAACUGGAUCCUCAGUACCCGAAAUUCUUUACAUUUCCACGUCACCACUGCUGCCCCUCCACACCACGCCACCACCACCUCUGAUCAGUACACAACAUGCAAAUGCACAGGGGAUGAUGUGGUGAUCCGUCUGUGAUGGGAACAAUCAUUCCUCAUCCUUAUUUUAUACCUUUGGGCUCCCAUAAGGUAAUUACUGUCAAACCAACUUUCACAUAGGUCUGGAGAGAAAUGAGUCCAUUGUUUCUAAAGCUGUGUCCUUCCUUAGCUUUACAUGCAAAUUUCUAAAUUGUACUAAAUGUAAAAUAAGAUAUUUUAGUUGAAGAGAAUAGUCUCAUGUGUUUAUUUUCAGUAAUUACUAUAAUUGUGAGAAAUGUAGUCAGUCCGUUGAAAGGUCCCUAGGAUGAUGUGACACUUUAAAUAGACAGCUAAAAUAAUAUAUAUUAUAGUUGAACUGGGAAUCUACAAUAUGGCCUUAGAAAAAGAAAACAAUGAAUUUUUGUUUGUUAUUGUGGACACGACACUGGCAUGCUCUGGCGGGAACACCUACAUUAGAAGCGAGGUAUAUUAGGGAUUAUUAGACUCCGCCAAGCCCAGCAGAAUACACAUGUCCCCCCAGUGCACCUGAAACAUUCUCUAAAAUAGACUGUAUGUGAGGUCACAAAACAAGUCUUCAUAAUUUUUAAAAGGUUGAAAUCAACUCACACAAAGUGUCUUUUCUGAUCACAACAGAAUGAAUUUAGAAAUCAAUAACAGAUGGAAAACUGGAAAAUACACAAGAAUAUUUGGAAAUUAAACACCCUGAUAAAUUACCAAAGUAUUAAGGAGGAAACCACAAGGGAAACACAAAAAUACUUUGAGCUGAGUAAAAACAAAAAUACCACACAACAUAGCAGAACUUAGGGAAUGCAAUAAAAAGAGUAAUUGGAAGGAAAAUUAUAGCCGUAAACAUUUAUAUUAAGAAAGAAGAAAGAUCUUGAAUCCACAAACUACACUCUGCCUUACGAAACUAGCAAAAGAAGAGCAAGCUAAACCCAAAGCAAGCAGAAGGAAGGAAACAAUAAAUAAUAGAGCAGAACUAAAUAACAUAGAGAACAGAAAAACAGUGGAGAAUAUUACCGGAUUAGUCCGUUCUCAUGCUGCUAUGAAGAAAUACCUGAUACUGGUUAAUUUAUAAAGAAAACGGGUUUAACAGACUCACAGUUCCACAUGGCUGGGAGGGACUCAGGAAACUUACAGUUAUGGAGGAAGGCGCCCCUUCACAGAGCAGCAGGAGAGGGAAUGAGAGUCGAGCAAAGGGGAAAGCCCCUUAGAAAACCAUCAGCUCUCCUGAGAACUCAUUGUCACAAGAACAGCAUGGGGGAAACCAGCCCCAGGAUUCAAUUGUCUCCACCUGGUCCUGCCCUUGACCUGUGGGGAUUAUUACAAUUCAAAGUGAGAUCUGGGUGGGGAAACAGCCAAACCAUUUCAUUCACCAAAACCAAAAGUUGAUUAUUUGACAAGAUGGAAAUCAAACAGAGUUGAAAACCCUUUCGUUGGACUAGACUUCAUCAACUGUUCUGGGUGCAUUUUUAAUUUCACAAGAAUUUCCUUCAACUUUGCAUGAAACCAGAGUUCCUCAUGUGUACUGUUUCUAAUCAAGUGUAUUUUCAUGUUUAGAAAGCUAUUUUCUAAGGAGCAAUUUCCAUAGUUCUUAUAAAUCAUGAAACUUGUAUAGAUGACCAUUUUCUACUACUUUAAUCAACUCUUUAAUUUUUGGUUCAAGGGCACUAUCAUUAAGGAAGACCCCUUUGAAAAUGAACAUAGAUGGCCGGGCGCGGUGGCUCAAGCCUGUAAUCCCAGCACUUUGGGAGGCUGAGGCGGGCGGAUCACGAGGUCAGGAGAUCAAGACCAUCCUGGCUAACAUGGUGAAACCCCGUCUCUACUAAAAAUACAAAAAAUUAGCUGGGCAUGGUGGCAGACACCUGUAUUCCCAGCUACUCAGGAGGCUGAGGCGGGAGAAUGGCGUGAACCCAUGAGAGGGAGCUUGCAGUGAGCUGAGAUCGCACCACUGCACUCCAGCCUGGGCGACAGAGCGAGACUCUGUCUCAGAAAAAAAAAAAAAAAGAGAGAGAGAAAAUGAUGCAGGAAGAAUGACGAAUAUAGAAAUCAUAACACAGUCAAGUAUAGUGAAUGAUAAAAGUAAAAAAAAAUUAUAAAGUGUAAAAAACACAUCACCUCCCACCUGGAGACCACAGGUAAUGUGUCAGUCAGAGUUCAAACUUGAGAGUGAAACUCUCAAUAUUUGGAAUAUUAUAGAGUAACAACCUUUUACAGGAAUGGUGUGAGGUGCUAUGGAAGUAAAGGUCUGUCGAGUGGGGUACAGCAUCGCAUGGUGGCCCUGGACUCACUGCAAGUCAGCAGGGCUGGAAAUCGGGAAAUAAAGACAGGGGUAAGGAAGAGUGAAGACAAACUUGCACCCUGUGUCAGCUCCACUGUGUCUCUCACCACUUCUGACCAAUUGUAACUGGGCAGUUUAACUGCAAAAUGCAUUUUAAACUUUUUACUUAUUUCUCGUGCGUUUCAAGAUAUAACCUUGAAGCAAAUUGCAGAAGCCUUUCCCUCUUUGUCUUAAAAUGAACUCCACAUCCCUCCCUUUCUCACCAUCUAUACUCCCUUCACAUUCAUCUACCUGUAUGCUAGCAUCUAAUUAUGUCCCUUUUUAGAAGCUCCUGGGGGUAAUCUUGAGACAGAUGAACCAAGUCUGGAGACCCACCUGCAAAGUUCCAGAGAUGACUUCAAGGUGGCGAGUCAACAGCCUCACCAUUGUUGAGAUGACACCAGCCCGUGAUCCAGGUAAACUGGGACCCAAGAUAGCCACCAGAACAAGGUACACAGACGUUGUACUCAGCACAAUUCUUGCAAGCUUUUCACAUCAAGUUUUCCUUUUUUAAACCCCUGUCUUCCUCUCUGCCAAAUUGAAGUGGUUGCUUUGGAUGGGAACCCGGCCACUUGUUCUUUAUUAGUUUGAGUGAAUAAAGUCACUUUCUUUCUACCAGAACUCAUUCUUGUUAACUGGAUUCUGCAGGCGGUGAGCAUCCGGACCUCUGUUCAGUUACACGAUGAAAACCUCCAGAGCAUAAUGGCCCCUCCUUCAUUCACCUCCCAGGUCUCAUGGCUUCACUGUGGCCAGCUCUAGCUCGGAACCAUAUGUAUAUAGGGAAAGAGAUUCUGAGAAACUCCCACAUCACAAGUUGAUUAUAGCCCAAUCCAUCACAGCUACAUUUCCUAAUAUUUCUGAGUUUGCAUCUCAUCUGCUCAUCUGGUAAAGAGUAUGGUGACAUGACUGCAUCAUAGCCUGGUUGUAUCACCUGAGAUGAUGUAAAACUGUAAAAUGCCAGGUGGUAUAUGUAUUAUUAUUCCAACCAGUCGGUCAGCUUUUAUUUUAGAGAAGCAGAAUCAGAGGUAAUAGGGAAGAAGAAACAGUGUAUGUAUCAAUGGAUGUGUUCUAAGAUAAGAUGACGACCUGACACAGACAGCCAGUUCUAGUUGGCAGGGGUAGGGGGUGGCAUGAAUACUUCUAGUUUGAUGUUGUGAGAUUUGUCUGGAAAGCACGGGUUGCCUGUGUGGAAGAGUUUUGCCUUCUUUCCACUUCUGCCAUAGCCCUUCAGAUGUGCUUCUCCUAUAUCCCAUACGUGAUGUACACAUGUUUAGUUGGUUUGUAUGAGCAGUGGCAGCGGAGGCCAGGUCUUGGCUUCCUGGCUGCCACUGGCCCUGGUUACCAUGGACAUAAGUAUUUCCCUUUCAUUCAGGGCAGGGGUUCAUGGCCCCUCCUGCAAACAACAGUGUGCGUCCACGUGACUAUUAAACUGUCAAAUUCACAAGACCCACUCCAAAAUAAACCCUUAUGGUCUCCACAAGCCUAUUUCUCCUCACUACUAUCUGGGAAGCACAGACUUUAGGAAGGGCUUCAUGUUUUAUAAAAAUGCCAGUGAUUAUCUGGAAAAAAUGACACCCAAUUUUCCACCACAUCCUAAGACCUACGGGUGUCUACCUAAAAGCUAAUAUGUUGUCAUGUUCCUGCCAUCUCAGAUAUGAAGCUGAAGAUAUUUCAUAUGUAUGUCCCAGAAAUGAAUGAAGAAGAAAUAUACAGUUGCUUGACUACAUGACAUGCAGCUCCCUGUUGCUUAUUCUGAAUGUGCCCUGCCUCUAGGAGGAGCUGUAGAUCUGUGGUACUGGUAACACUAGGCCCACUAGCCUUAUCAUCAUGCACAGCUUUUGUGUUUUCUUCCUCCCUCAGCUUCCACACAACAGCCCUGAUGUUUACCAGCAGGCGUCUCUUGUUUAGUCUCAUUGUCUUUGGCAAGUUCAAUCUCAACCAGAUUGUUGUUCUUCUCAAGAGGACUGAUCCCAGCAGGCUCCAGCCCUAAAGCGGACUGUUCGGGAGAUCUGUGUUAACUUUGUGUUUCAGUCCUCAGUCUCACGGUACUGGGUCCUACCGUGAGCGGAAAAUCCCUCUCUACAUCAGAACAGCCUUCUGGCCAUGCUACAGUCCUCGCUCAGAAACACGGUAUGUGUCUCUGCUACCCGUCUGCUCACCUGCAUCUCCUACAUCCUAUCCAGCAUUCUCCCGUCCACACCACUGGGCACAUCAGAUUUAGCAAAUGAUCAGUUAAUUUACACUCAUUAAGCAGCAGUCUCUACGAUGAAUCUCUUCUAAGCUCAGGACAUUUGACACACACUUUGCAAAAAUCAUUAUGUGUCAUUGUGGCGAGCUGGCAGGUUCCCAGUUAUGCUGAACAAUGAAAAAGGGAUAAAGCUCUGCAAAAGAUAGAGUGGGGAGAGAAAGAAAUCUGCAUCGCAUUGUCAGGACUAAACAUUCUUUAAAGAAACCUACAGUGAGGUAAGAAUGGCAUCUGUGCUACUCUAGUCCAAAACGUGUAUUCCCUUCCCCCUAAAAGACAGACAAAGACACCAAGGUACUGAGCACAUCAAUAUAAAAUAGGAGAAGAACAAGACAGGACUGCAGUAACUUGGUCUUUAAAAGAAUCUCUAAUUAAAAAGAUAUAAAAUCAUAUUUGCUCAGACUUUGAAGGUAAAGGCAGAGUGUCUUGUACCUUGAUCUUUCCACUCAAUUAUUUUGAGUUACUAAUUUGUAACCAUCCUUUAAAACUUGUAUUUAAAAUUUAAAUAAUAAAAUUUAAAAAUUUAAAUGAUACAAUAACAGAGUGUCUUAAUCAGAUCUAGUAAAUGAAAUGCUUGGGAAAUAUGUGCACUAGAUCAAGUUUCUGAUAGUCUAAGCAAGAAAUUCUUUUAAUUUGUAUUUUUAGUUGAGAAUGUAUUCAUUCCCAGGGGUUUCAACCUGUUCCCAUAGAAAGUAAAGACUGGAGAAGAGAGGCCUUUUGGAUGCUGGAGGAUCUUGGGGAGUCCUAGGGUCAGCAUUUUGGGGGUGCCCCUCCCGUGACCAGAAAUGGAGAAGAAUUAAGAAUGAGGAGUGAAUUUGCCCUGGGACCAAGCUGAGCUUAGAAUUUGGUUUUCUUUUAAAAAAUUUGUAUUACCCUAUGUUUUAGAAUUGUUCUCUAAAUUCACUUUCUGAUAAAAGAGACAGGUCUUGACUAAUUGAGGUAUCUGAUUAAACAAACAUUUGGCUUGAUUAAAAACUAAGCAAAGAAGAAUUCAAGAAAGAUAGAUCAGAAAUGACAUAAGGAGAAACAACUACUCUAUAAAGGUAGAUUGGUCAAAUAUGUAAAAGAGGGUUGAGAUGAAGGGAUAUUUAUAUCUUGAACACACACUGAGAAAAUAAUUUUUGAGCAUUUAUUAAAGACCAAAUACUUUAGGCUUUGUUUUAUUGGGGAAAGUAAACUGUUUGCUUGUUCAAUGACUUUCUGGGAGAAUUAGAAAAUUUAAUCACAAAUGAACUGCUGCAAAUCAAAUGUAGUAAAAGCCAUUGUGCAGUAAUCAAGGACAGAACAUAAAUGGUUCCUUUCCUUGAACAAGGGGUGUAUUCAAAAGAGGGACCCUGAUUUCUAAAGAUCAAUGAAAAAUAAAGAGUUUGAAGCUAGUGUUUCAUUCUUUUGCAAAACAAGCUAAAUUAUAUAAAAAGGUUUUAUUCAAGACAGUAAAUGUCCAUUCAUUCAUUCAUUCAUUCAUUCAACCACUCUUCAUGAAAUUUUUCCUUGGAUGAGAAAAUUUAAAUAAAGCAGAAAACAUAGUCCUAGACUUAAUUUUAUGAUCUAUUCAAGUAACUAACCAAAGUGUGUAUGUCUUACCUAACAGGCACACCAUAUAUAAAUAUGAUGGAUAAGCAGUGAGUGUGUAAAGACCUUGUGACUACUGAAUGUUUUGUAAAAGGUAAGAAUUUAACCAUUUGCCACAGAAACACAUAUUUGAUUUUACAUUUGACUUUAUAACUAAGCUGUUCAUAACAGGAAUGAGAUCCUUUUCUUCUGUUCAGAACUUGAACUCUCAAAUGAGGUUACCUUAUGCAUUGAUCGUUUGUCUAUGAUUGGCAAGAGUUUUACCAGACAGCAAGCAAGAAAGUAAACUGGUCAGCUCUGCAGGUGUAAUUACUUGGAUGGUUGUGUAUUCACAAUAACUUCUGUAAGUUUGUAGUGUCCCCACCUUACAAUUGAAAGUGCUGAGACUCAAAGUCAACCAACCAAAUGUGAAGAAUCCAAACCCUAUAGGCUGUAUAACACUCUAAGAGCAGAGCUCUUCCCACUACAAUGGACACACCGCAACAAGUACAAGUGUCAUCGGUAGCAAUGGCAGGAUUUACAGUCCGUGUGAACUUUUUCAAUCCCAAGACCUCAGGAGUAGACCCCACCCAUGGACAAUCAAGAUGCAGCAGCAAGUGAGCCAAUCUGCACUGGGCUUUUUGCAUCAGGGCCCUAUAACACUAUCACCUCAGACCAAAUCUCUGAUAAGAGCCAUGAGAAUGAAGAUCUGGAAACUCACGAAGGUCACUAAUGGCUUCCUAGUCUGAUGAUUCUGUUCAACUAAAGCCAGGAGGAGUCCUUUGACAAAAUUCAUUGUUGUUUGGCUUUGAGGUUCAUAAUGGCUAUAAGUAGGACCCUAUAAUUAGGACUCAGACUGGUCAAUGCCUUGAGUGGUGCCUAAGUGGCCUCUGUUUACCAUGAGCUGAUGAGUGGCAGAAGGGGGGGACAGCACCUCCCAUAUAUACUGGUUGCCUUUGAGGGCACAAAGGCAUUUGUCUUUCACACCAUCUGAUGACCGCAGCACUGUUCCAAGGGCAGCCAGGAACCUGCCCUCAGUGGGCCAUAUUACAGGGGCAGCCCGAGAGAGCUGGUCCUUGAGUUUCUUCUGAGCUCUAUGAAGUACCCUCACCUGGAGAAGAAAACAAGAUGUGAACCCAGGUUUACACCUCAUAACUCUUGCCGUCAGCAUGCCCAUGAGGCAGCAGCACAGAACAUCGGCCGAUGAAUAGUUUCUUACCUCUCCUUCCUCCACUGCUGCCUCAUGCCUGUAUUUGAAGGCAAGGAUGUUUUAGAAUGAGACCCAUGGCUACAGCCAGCAUGUAGCACAGAUAUGAAUGCUCAGAUGUUGCCGAAGUCAGGUGUAAAUCAGGGCGGACAUUCUGGCAGCAAAAAAGACUGCAGAAGCCUCCUGGGUGCAGGUUGGAACACUUCCAAAAGUGGAACUCUAUGAUCGGUUGACUGAGGUGGAAGAUUAAUUAUAACAUCAGUAUGGAGAGUGCAGCUCCCAACGCUCUAUACCUGCUGCUGGGUGCCUGGGAGUUGAGCAAUGGAGUUGGAUGUGCCUUAGCUCUCUCUGACUCUCACUGGUUAAAGGCAUGAGACAAUGCAGUUAAGGCCCUCCUGCUUGAGAUGAGAAAACUCAUGAAUUGUUUAAGUUCACUGGGAAAUAACUUCUGUUCUUUGGUCCUGUUCUUUAUCCUCCUUCCUCUACCUCAAUAAUUAAAUAAAGGUUAGUUUUUAUUAUUGUGUCAAGCUCAGGACUUGGAAAGAUUGCUUUACAGGAUCUCAUUUAGCCUUCAUAUUAUCCCUGUGGUAUAGACACUGCUAUUCCCCUUUUGCAGAUAACAAAACCAAGAGUCAGAAAGCUUAAGCAGCUUCCUCAAGGAAACUCAGCCAGUGCAUGACAGGGCCAUGAUUCUGCCAUGGAUAACUGAGAAUUUUCCAUUGAACUGGAAAUUGUCUGAUGUUUGCUGAGUGCCUGGUGGUGUGUCCAGGGCUGUGCUAAAUGAAGCUCAGUGUAGGAGCAUCUUGUUACUGGCCAGAGGGGAGAAAUGAUCUAAGCUCAUUUUCUAGGAGCUCAACUCUUGCAAAAUAUUCUGUGAAGAUAAGAAAGUUUGGGUUGUCUACACAUAAGAUCAUGUCAUCCGCAAACAGAGAUAAUUUUAUCUUUUUCUCAUUUAGAUGCCUUUAGUUUCUUUCUCUUGCCUAAUUGCCCUGGCAAGGACUUCCACUACUAUGCUGAAUAGAAGCAGUGAGUGUGGGCGUCCUUGUCUUGUUCCUGAUCUUAAAGGAAAAGCGUUUAACUUUUCACCAUUAUAGUUAGUGCCAAUAAUACACGAUGGGAAAAUAACAGUCUCUUCCAAAAAUGGUGCUGGGAAAACUGGAUAUCCAUACAAGAGAACUGAACUCUUACCUUAUGCUGUACAUAAAAAACAACUCAAAAUAUAUUAAAGACUUAAACAUAACACCUGACAUUGUAAAACUCCCAAAAGAAGGCAUGGGGGAAAUGCUUCAUGACAUUGGCCCAGGCAAUGACUUCUUGGAUAUGACACCAAAAGCACAAGAAACAAAAGCAAAAAUCUUGAAAAGGCAUUUCUUCAAAGAAAACAUACAAAUGGCCAACAGGCACAUAAAAAGAUGUUCAACAUCAUUAACCAUCAGGGAAAUGAAAUCAAAACCACAAAGAGGUAUCACCUCACACCUAUUAGGAUUGCUAUUAUAUAUCUAUAUGUAUGUAGGUGUGUGUGUUGUGUGUAUGUGUGUGUGUGUAUAUAUAUAUAUAUGUAGGAAAACAAAUGUUGACAAGGAUGUGUAGAAAUCAGAAUCCUUGUACAUUAUUGGGGGGGAAUGCAAAAUGGUGUAGCCACUUUGGAAUAGAGUAUGAGGCUUCCUGAAAACACUAAAAAUAGAACCACCAUAUAAUCCAACAAUCUCAUUUCCAGGUACGUAUCCAAAAUAAUUAAAAUCAGGACCUCAAAGAACUAUCUGCACUUCCAUGUUCAUUGCAGCAUUAUUCAUAAUAGCCCAAAUGUGGAAACCAUCUAAAUGCUCAUUGACAGAUGAAUGGAUAAAGAAAAUGUGGCACAUAUAUACCAUCAAAUAUUAUUUAGCCUUAAUACAGCAGAAAAUCCUGCCAUAUGCAAAAACAUGACUGAACCUACAGGAUGUUAUGGUAAGUGAAAUGAACCAAUCACAGAAGGAUAAACCCUACAUGGUUCCACUUCCUAAAGCAGGCAGACUUGUACAGAGAGUAGAGAGGUGCUUGCCAGGGGCUUGGGAUAAGGGGAAAUGGGAGGCGUUCCAUGGGUACAAAGUUUCAGUUGUGCAAAAUGAAAUAAGUUCUAGAUAUUUGCUGUAUCCUACUGUGCUUUCAGUUAACAAGACUUAAACAUUUAUGGAGAGAGUAGAUCUCAUGUUAAGUGUUCUUAUCACAAAAAAAAGAAAGAAAGAAAAGAAAGUUUGUAGCUAUGUUUAGUUAUGUUUUUUUCCCUGUUUUAUUUAGUACCUACUGAGGGAUUCCUUUUUUUUUUUUCUUUUUUUGAGAUGGAGUUUCACUCUGUUGCCCAGGCAGGAGUGCAGCAGCAUAAUCUCAGCUCACUGCAACCUCUGCCUCCUGGAUUCAAGCAAGUCUCCUGCCUCAGCCUCCUGAGGAGCCGGGGUUACAGGCAUGCGCCACCACACCUGGCUAAUAUUUGUAUUUUUAGUAGAGACGGGGUUUCACCAUGUUGGCCAGGCUGGUCUCGAACUUCUGGCCUCAAAUGAUCCACCCGCCUCAGCCUCCCAAAAUACUGGGAUUAAAGGUGUGAGCCACCAUGCCUGGCCACGUUUUAUCUAUUGUUGAUGCAUUCCUUGCUACUAAACAGCAUCCUAGAUUUCCUUAUUCCUCCACUGUUGAUAAUGUAAUAGUUGAUCUAAAUACAGUAGAUAUCUGAUCUCUCUUUCACAGAAAGUCACUGGGGUGUGUGAUGGGAAUUGUAAAGUAAGUAUUGGUGAUGGUUUCACCAUAACAGGUGAUAUGAUAUCCACUGUCCACGUCAUCCAAAACCUAAGUUUGUUUGGCUUCAGAGUUGCAGGACAUUCCAAUUAUUCCACCUUUCUCAGCUUCCUACCCUUCGUGAUCCACUCCAGCCAACAUGUAAGGAGAAUCUGGGGGAGUAAAGGAGGGCAAAUUGGAAAAUGUCGCUUCUGUUACCCAGUCUCUGCCCAUUUUGGCCUUAAUAAAAUUUUGAUCAAAAUUUAAAAAUUAGGAAUAUGUGUGUUUCACCAUUUAUCUGUGAAGGAAAGAAUCCUGCCUUAUGCCUAAAAAUAUUUUAAUAAUGUGGUAACAUUACCACUAAUAAUAGAACCUGCCUACGCACCAACACAAUUCCAAUCUAAGAGUUAGUCAUAUCCUCCCAUCAAGACACUGUGUGCAGAUUUUCUUCAGUCAUAUUCAGAUGGGAUUUCAGGUUCCAGUCUGAAGACAAAGAGAUUAUAGAUCAGAAGAGACAUCUAAUUUCAACUAAAUCAUGCUUGCAAACAAAGCAACACACACACACACACACACACACACACACACACACACACACACACACGAAACCCUGCCUGUUUUCAUUUUUAUUAUCCCAUCUGGCACUACCCAGAUAAGAAAAUAACUAAAAUAAAUAUUUUCCAUUAACCAUUUGCAUAAAUCAUGAUUUACUCUCACAGGUAUCUCAACAGUACCCACACCGGUGAUAGGACUGAUAAUGUUGAUUGACUGUUUACUAUCUGCCAUGCACUUCUAGAAGAGCUUGACUUGGGUUUUCUCAUUUGUUUCUCAAAACAUUCUUAUGAGACAGACACCAUUAUUAUCCCCACAUUACAGAUGAGGAUACCAAGGCACCACAGAGCUAAGUGGUCGAGCCGGGAGUGGGCACCACCCAAUCCAGCUUGUGCUACUGAACACGUGCUCUCUGAUCACUGGAAUCCUGGCAGUUUGAUGGGAGAGACCUACUUCAAAAAAUGCACAGUGCCAUCAAUGAUGGAGCUGACAAUAAUCACAAAUAACAACAACUGAAUGUGUCUGUCCUUUCAAUCAAGCACAGCCCAUGGUACUUGUCAAAGCCCUUCUUUCUGUACCCAUUUGAAAGGAUGCAUUUUUAGGCUUGAGCUCGAAGUCCCCAUUCAGAAUGAACAGAACCUCCCUAUGUCCCACAGACAUAGCAGAUACAUUCAGGUCUUUCUCUUUGGUUUGUCCUGCCUCACAUGCACCCUCCUCUCCAUCCCCCAUCCUUUCCUAACUAUCCUUUAUCCUAAAACUGCUCAUUCUAAGCCUUCAGCCCACAUUAACCUCUUGCUUUCUCUUGUAUUUUCUCUUCUAUCCAGACACUGAUCCCCAGACCCUGGAAGGUUUUCUGACUUUGAAUAAAAUAACAACUUCUAGAUCUUGUCCUGGGCCAUGGUCUGUCUGCUCUGUGACCUCCAGAUGAUGGAGAACUCCCGACCCAUUUCCUCUUGGUGGGAUGAGGUUUGCAAACUUCCUAGGAAAUCACUACACAUCAGUUGGGGCUGGCUGUUCCUGUGGAAAACCCACUCAACAUUGCCAAAGCCUCCAUCCCCUUUCUCGCUCAUCCCAUAAAGAAUGGAAGUUUGUGGUCUCCCUUCUGCUCUACUGUUUGUACCUUAUGAUAAGGGGUCUGAUGUGUCUGUGUGUUUCUCUCUGAUUUCUGUCCUUCUUGUCUAUUUUAAAACUCUGGCUGUUAUUGUGUAUUCACCGCGAGGUAAGUACCAGAUUCCAGGGGAAAUCAAGAUUCUUCCCUGACUACCCAAGCAGAGUGAUGCUUCUUUUUGAUUCAGUCAUAGUGUUUUCUGUUUCGUGUAACACAACUCCUUAGUAAAGGGUAAGCACCAUGUUUCCUACCUAGUACAAGACUGAUCAGAGGGUAGGCACUAAUAGCACAAACACAAUUUUUAGUUGGAUGGAAUUGAACAAACUCAUUGCAUUGAAUGUUUCUGCAUUUAACAUCAUUUGGAGAACACCAGGAUGCAAAUCUGGCCCAUUUUCUCGCACAAAACUCCCCACCCAUUGGUAGCCUGAAAGCCACAGUUGACAAAUGUUAGGAAGCACCAGCAAAAACCAGUUUCCACCCCUCUUACCUUGACUUGUGUGACUGCCCACACUUCUAUCCAGAGCCAAAUGAAAGCUUCCAGUCAAUGAAAAAAUCUAGCAACCAAUAUUUAGGUAAGGUACUAAGAGCUAUUUUGCAUUCUGUUGCUCCCCCACCCUGCACCCCAAUUAGGGUUCCCUGCAUGGGCCCCGCAGGUAUCUGAGGCUACUGCCUUGAAGCCCCCGCCCCACCCACUAAAGACACUGAGUACUGGAGGGUCCCCUCUCCUUGUUCUACAAUCAUAACACGCCCACACAGGGGCCUGCUUCUUCAGGGGUUUAGUGCCCUCCACUGGGGGACAAAGGGUAAUCAAUGGACUAUUAUGCAACUCACAAAAUUCUUACUGUCUUUCCCCUUCUCAGGGAGAAUUAUGUCCUACCAGAGGAAAAAAAAAUGCACACAUCAUCAAUAAAAUCUUUGUGAGCAGCUUUUUAAAAAACUAUUAUUAUUUUUAAAGAUUAGAAAAUUAACAGCGGCCAGGCGCUGUGGCUCACGCCUGUAAUCCCAGCAUUUUGGGAGGCUGAGGCGGGUGGAUCACUUGAGGUCAGGAGUUCCAGACCAGCCUGGCCAACAUGGUGAAACCCUAUCUCUACUAAAAAUACAAAAAUUAGCUGGGCAUGGUGGUGGGUGCCCCAUAAUCCCAGCUACUCAGGAGGCUGAGACAGGAAAAUCACUUGAACCUGGGAGGCAGAGGUUGCAAUGAACUGAGAUUGUGCCACAGCAGUCCAGCCUGGGCGACAGAGCAAGACUGUCUCAAAAAAGAAAAAAUAAAAAAUAAAAAAAGAAAAGAAAAGUAACAGCAUACUAGAGUAUAAUUUUCAUAUGCUCCUCAUUAAAAUUUUGAAAAUUGUUAGUUUUCAUAUUUUCUCCAUAUCUAUUUUAAAAAUUAUUUCAAUUGCAUACAGGUACCAAAACAUCAUGCCUCGAAAUCAUUCAGGAUGCAUCUUUUUAAAAAAUCUCAGUGAGCAACGCUAAAGAAGAGAGACCACAAGUUCUAGACGUUUUCCUGUAUAAUUAAGAAGAAUCUGUUCAACAAACCCCCAUGACAUAAGCUUAUCUAUAUAACAAACCUGCACAUGUGCCCCUGAACCUAAAAUAAAAGCUUUUUUAAAAAAGAAAAAGAACAUUUUCACACUUAAAAACUGAAUACAAUUUUCUAAUCUCAUGUAAUAACUUCCCCAAUUACUCUAAAAUGACUGGUAUAGCUGGUUUGUAUAGGUAAGGAUUUAGCCAAGGCCCAGGAAUUGCCCUUGGUUGGUGGUAACGUAUAUUUCAACUUAGAACGUGUCUGCCCCAGUGGCUCCCCAGCCCACCGCACAUUGCUGGCUUGCUGGAAGGAAUGGGCGAGUUGUUGCCUCCACGUUUCCACCUUCUGGAUUUGUCUGGCUGUUUCCUCCUGGUGUGCAUUAGCUGGACGCUCUGCAGCCUGUAUUAGUUACGCACUGAAAGUUAGACCUAAGAGCUUGAUUAAGUUCAGCUCACACAUUUCUGGCAUUACCUCACAGGUGAUGCUAAGCACCGCAUGGGGCAUGGAAGGAUAUCUGCUUGUCCCAGUGUUAGGGAUGCAGGAAUUGAUAAGGCGGAGAGCAUCGGUGUUCUCCAGGAUAAAGUCACAUUUCUCCCCUUGCAACCAGCAGAUGAUCCCUGGAGUGAUACUUUAGCACCAUGUAAAUUCCCUGAGAUGACUGUGUAUCCAUUCAUGACAUUUGCCUACAUCAAUUGGUUUACUAAAGAUUUCUGCAUUUUACAAGCAAGGAAAGAAGGCUCAGAGAUGACCGUUGGGCCACUUAGCAAAUUGGUGGCUGAGAGGCUGGCCUGCCAGAGGUGGGAUACUUGCUCACCUCUUGCCCAGUCCCUAACCCACAGAAGUCUCAUGAUGAGAGAACCCUCAGCACCCUGAGAGAGUUAAUGCAUCAUCCUUUGGCCCCAUGAAUCUGCCCAGAAGCCAGCUGAGAAAAGAAGGUAGAGAACAGGGCUGAGGGACAAGGUGCCCCUUUAUAUAUUUGGGUGAACACAUUUUUAAAUUUUCCUUUCAUUGUCCAGUCCCCAUGAAUUAUUUAUUUGUUAUUAAAUUCAACUGAAUGAGAUUUCAAAGCAACGAAAAUUGAAGUUCAAAUGAAACCAAAUUACCACUCUGAGCUCCAGGUGGCCCUGACAGCCCAGUUUUGUGAAGGGCCCCUGAGGCUGUUCACUGAGUCUGAGAUGUCACCAGGCAUGGAGGGUCUCUGAUCAGCAUCCAGAGCUCCAGAGUAGGGAGCAACCCCUCACCACCACUUCUGGGCCCCAGGCAAGGCAGAGACCAAAAGAACCCUGGUAAGGUUCCCCAACCUCCAUGUUCAUUUAAAAAAAAUGUUUAAAACUGACAAAUAAUAAUUGCAUAUAUUCAUGGGGUCCAUCAUGAUGUUUUGAUAUACAUAUACACAUAUGGAAUGCUUAUAUCAAGAUAGUUAACAUAUAUAUCACCUCACAGACUUAUGUUUGUGGGUGUGUGGUACAAAUAUUUAAAAUCUACUCUCUUAGCAAUUUUUGAAACAUACUUUACAUUAUUAAAUAUAGUCACCAUGUUGUGCAAUUGAUCUCAAAAACUUAUGCCUCCUGUCCAAUGAAAUUUUAUAUCCUUGUACCAACAUCUCCCCAACCCACCCCCAACCAUCCCUGAGCUAGUCUCUGCCUCUGUAAUUUUGACUUUUUAAGAUUCUACACAAGUGACAUAAUGUGGUAUUUGUCUUUCUGUGCCUGGUUUAUUUCAUUUAACACAAUGUCCUCCAGGUUCAUUCAUGUUGUCACAAUUGACAGACUCUCCUGCUUUUUUAAGGCUGCAUAGUAUUCCAUUGUGUGCAUACACCACACGUUUCUUAUCCAUUCAUCUGUGGAUGAGCACAGGGAAUGUUUCCAUAUCCUGGCCAUCCAGAACAGUGCUGCAGUGAGCAUGGGAGUGCAGAUGUCUCUUUGACAAGCUGAUUUCAGUUCCUUUGGUUCUAAACCCAGAAGUGGGAUUGCUGGAUCAUCCAGUAAUUCUAUUUUGGAUUUUUUUUAAGGAACCUCCACACUAUUUUCCAUAUGGCUGUAAAACUCACAUUCCCUCUAACACUGUGUGAGGGUUCCCUUCUCUCCACAUCCUCGCCAACACUUGUUAUGGUCCACAUUCACUUUUCAAGGUGAAAUCCAUUCUCUGCACUCCCCUGCUUGAAAGCACUCGGCGUCAGUGCGUUGCUCCUUCCCUCACUUCCGGAGGCCCCUGAUCUGAACCUUCAUCCAUCCCUCCCCACACGGGUCUCAAUUUUUCCUCCAGCCUUUCAGCCUCUUUUCUCUCCAGGGACUUUGCACCUGCUCUCACCUGUGCCUGGGUUGUCAGUGAGCUCCAUUGCACCCUUCAUUCCCAGCCCAGCUGCUGCCUUCUCAGGAGAGACACCUUCCCAGACCUCCUUCACCCACGUGCACCCCCACCCAUCAGCCCCUUUCCCAUUUCCUACAAAGUCAGGAGCAUUCACAUAUCACCUGUUGCUCCUCUACCCACUGCCUCUUACCUCCACAAGAACACAGCAGCAGCAUGAGUGGCCACUGAAUCUCCAGCACGCAGCCCAGUGCAGGGACAGAGCAGUGGGUCCUGUGUUUGCUCAGCCUUUUCACCAGAAUGUCAAUCACAUCUGCUCUGCUCACCCCACCACACUCCAUGUCUACCAUCACAUUCUAUAAACACGCACCAAGGAUAUAACGCCUGGCCUAGCGGUUGGAGAUGCAGAGACCAGACCUAGCCUUUCUGUUCCUCCUCUUAAGAAACUGAGCCCCUCAUGGAGAAGUGAGGCAGACACAUGAACAUAAGUUUUGCAACAGAAGCACUUUUCACCAGGUAAUGCUAUGGGAGCAAAGAAGGAAGUAACGGAGCCUGGGGGAACUCAAGAUGUUUUCUGAAUGAACUUUUAUCUCUGAGUAAGAAACAAGGGCGCAUAGGCAGAGUCUGCCACCCCUUUCUCUCCUCUCCAUUGGGCCUGUGGAGAUGGAGUGGGCAGGCACAUAAUCUGUGGGAGCACAGUGUAUUCAGGGGAGUUAUACAGUUCCAUAGGUCACAGCUGGGCCCAGGGUACACAUGAGGGACAAGCCAAAAGUGAGACCGGAAAGCGAGUCGGGGCCAUGCCCUGAAGAGCCUGCAAUGUGGACUUAUCCUGAUGCAUCAGUCUGUUCUCAUGCUGCUAAUAAAGACAUACCCAAGACUGGGUAAUUUAUAAAGGAAAGAGGUUUAAUGGACUCACAGUUCCACAUGGCUGGGGAGGCCUCACAAUCACGGCAGAAGGCAAAGGAGAAGUAAAGGCACGUCUUACACGGCAGCAGACAAAGACAGCAAGUGCAGGGGAACUCCCCUUUAUAAACCAUCAGCUCUUGUAAGCCCUAUUCAUUCUCAAGAGAACAACACAGGAAAGACCCACCCCCAUGAAUCGAUUACCUCCCACUGUGUCCCUCCCAGGACACUUGGGAAUUAUGGGAGCUACAAUUCAGAUGAGAUUUGGGUGGGCACACAGCUAAACCAUAUCACCUGACUACUGACCUUUUUUAAAACUGUGAGUUCAAAGGACCUCAAACUGGGCUGUGGUGGGUGCCUGCUGGUGGGUGAUGAGGAAAGGCUGGUCGUUAUUUGCAGCCAAGGCUCUGGUCACACAGAAUCAGACACAGGCUCAGCAGUGAGCAGCCUUGGCAGGCCUGGAAUCCCAGGCUAGUUGUGCCUGUGAUUGGUUUUGUUAUCAGCACACUUUUCAUUUUGGAUUCUUUUGGCCAUCCCUCUCCUCAUUAAUGAUGUCAUCAAAGAAGGAACAGAGCAUCACCUCAGGCCCGGUCUCUCCCACUUGCCUUCUUUGACACAAAUACUUCUGACAUCUUAGAUUACGUGUCAGAGGGAACAAGGGUGGAGUCAAAUUCGAUCUUAUGUUUUUUUGGUUUUGUUUUUUAGACAGAGUCUCACUCUAUCACCCAGGCUGGAGUGCAGUGGUGCAAUCAUGGCUCAGUGCAGCCUUGACCUCCUGAGCUUAAGCGUUCUCCCACCUCAGCCUCUGGAGUAGCUGGGACCGCAGGCGUGUGCCACCAGUCCCAGCCUCAAACCUAAUCUUACAUUGAAUGUUUGUUAUGUAAGCACACACACAGAGGUGUGCCACCACUCCCAGCCUCAAACCUAAUCUUACAUUGGCUGUUUGUUAUGCAAAGGUUAAGAGCUGCAAUGUGUACAGGCAGAUGCCUGCACAGCACAGGUCCAGAGCCGAAGGGUCCCUGAGAAAAUACCACGUGUCCCAUGUCCAUGCCACCAAAUAAAUACACGGUAGCAGACUGUUUUGAUAUGUCAUGGGAUCUUUGAAAUAUGAAUGCCAUGCCUUGUUAAUCAUGAAAACACCUUCUCUCAUCUUACUAAAGCACGUUCCACCAUGGGCACUGGCCCGACUUUGACAGAGUGUUGAAGGAAGAGCCCAUUAGUCCUCCCCAGCCAUAUAUCAUACAUGUCCAAUUUUCUAGCCACUGACAAAUGAUCUUCAUAAAAUAUGACUAAGUUGUCCAGGAAGCAAAAUUUCUCCAGGUCUAGCCAAGAACAAUAUGAGAAAUGCACAACCCCUUCCCGUCCGGGGCAGCUGCAUUUCCAAGUGAUUAUCCAUCAGCUACAGGUGACGCAUCUCCACGUGGAGGAGACUGCGAUUCCAGAAAGGCAAGGCCACAUGGGUUCCGUGAGGCCCCGUAGAAGUGAACGUGGCAAAGAAGGGACAAAGAAGGGUGGGCAACCGUAUUGGUCAGGAAUCUCCAGAGGGACAGAUCUGUGGGAUGUAUGUGUAUAUGAAACGGAGCUUAUUAGGGAGAAUUGUCUCACAUGCUCACGAGGUGAAGUCCCACCAUAGGCCAUCUGCAAGCUCGGGAAGAGAGAAGCCGGUAGUGGCUCAGUCCAAGUCCAAAAGCCUCAAAACCAGGGAAGCUGACAAUGCAGCCUUCAGACUGUGGCCAAAGGCUGGAGAGCCCCCGGCAAACCACUAGCAUAAGUGCCAGAGUCCAAAGGCGGAGGAACCGGGAGUCUGAUGUCCAAGGGCAGGAGAAGCUGAAAGAAGCAUCCAGCACAGGAUAAAGCAAGAAGCCAGAAGAACCAGCGAGUAAGCUUAUCUUACCUUCUUCUGCCUGCUUUGUUCUGCCUGCACUGGCAGCCGAUGGGAUGGUGCCCACCCACACUGAGGAUGGGUCUUCCUCUCCCAGUCCACUGACUCAAACGUCAGUCUCCUCUGGCAGCACCUUCACCGACACACCCAGAAAUCACACAUUACCAGCUAUCUAGGCAUCCUUCAAUCCAAUCAAGUUGACAACUAACAUUCACCAUCACGGCAACAGAAGAAAAAUUGGAGAGCGGGGAGCUGGCCAGUGGUGCCCUGCGAGGCCAAGCAGGGGUGCACUUGUAUAAUUUGCACACUUAUAAUUUGACAUUUAUAAUUUCCCUCCUAUACUCAAUGAGGCCCUCGCUUAGAGGACCACCAACAUCUAAAUUCACUGCAGGAUUUUCUCCCACAAGGAAAACCCAGAUGUUUUAGGAGAACCUAAUGCCAUCAGUAUGGCUGAUGGAAUGGAGUCGCUUCCUGCAAUGAGCAGAUGGUUUUAGGAACAGGACAGAAGGAAGAGGCUUGCUGAGUUGACUGCACUUCUGUCGGAAUCAGCUUUCUCAGGAGAUGCUCCCCUUGAGCUAAGCAGGGCAACCUUCCCCUUUGCAAUCCCCACCCACAGACCCCAUUGGAGCAAUAAGUAUUGUGAUCAGGGUACUCAUUGGGGACAGUAAUUAAAUGUCUGUUUGGAGAACACAGGCUCCACAAGGCUAACCAGGCCAACCCUCUGACCCCACGGGGCUGGCCUCUGUGAUUCAGAAUGGGGAUAUUACCCCAGGCCCUCAGAGGACACCCUGUUCACUGCUCUCAAAAUCCGAUCGCAUGUUGAGUGGAACAUGACACUGAUUAGUAUUCCAUAAAAUCCUGUGGAUGGCUUAAAGUGGCCUGAUUUUAGAGAACUAUACUGUGCAUGAUGCACAUUAAGAGAGGAACAGCAAUGAUUAAAGCAUCAGGAAAAAGGAGCUGGAAGCAAAGCUAAGGGAGCUAGGGUUGUCUGACAUGAAAUAGAGAAACAGGAGGUUUUAUAGUUGUCCAUUCAGUUAUCCUCUUGUGAUUUUUUUGAUCAAUAUGAAAGUGCACAGAUAUGAGACUUAUCCUAAGGAUGAUACUAAAAAGUAUGAAAUGUUUUUCACACUCAAGCCGAGGAGACAACUUGAGAACAAGGAAAAACGCACAUGGAAGAAUGAAGUGGCCAUCGAAGGGGCAAGUCUGUGGCUGAAUGAGGGGUCCCCACAGAAACUAAAGAGGGGCUUGGCCGGGCACGGUGGCUCAUGCCUGUAAUCCCAGCACUUUGGGAGGCUGAGGCGGGCGGAUCACCUGAGGUCAGGAGUUUGAGACCAGCAUAGCCAACAUGGUGAAACCCCAUCUCUACAAAAAUACAAAAAUUAGCUGGGAGUAUUGGUGUGUGCCUGUAAUCCCAGCUACUCAGGAGGCUGAGGCGGGAGAAUCGCUUGAACCCGGGAGGCAGAGGUUGCAGUGAGCCGAGACUGUGCCAUUCAUUGCACUCCAGCCUGGGCAACAAGAGUGGAACUCCAUCUCAAAAGAAAAAAAAAUGGAAGCUAAGGAGGGGCUUUAUGGAGACAGUACAAUGUGUAAAGGCCCAUCACCCAUAGAGCCUCAAAGUCCUGACAAUCUGUGAGUGUGAGAAUAGCUUCAUCUUUGAGGUCCAAGUGCCUAGAAAAUCUUGGAGGAGGCAGGAAAUAGAAAUCCAAUGUUUACUGAAUGAAUGAGUGACGAAGGAAGAAGUGAGUAAGACAGUAGGAGCAAGAAGUGUUAACAUUCUUUUUUUUUUUUUUUUUUUU